rnacentral:rRNA from 1 species
AACGCGAAGAACCUUACCUGCCCUUGACAUGUCAGGAAGCUCACAGAGAUGUGGGCGUGCCUUCGGGAACCUGAACACAGGUGCUGCAUGGCUGUCGUCAGCUCGUGUCGUGAGAUGUUGGGUUAAGUCCCGUAACGAGCGCAACCCUUGUCUUUAGUUACCAGCACGUUAUGGUGGGAACUCUAAAGAGACUGCCGGUGACAAACCGGAGGAAGGUGGGGAUGACGUCAAGUCCUCAUGGCCCUUAUGGGCAGGGCUACACACGUGUUACAAUGGUCGGUACAGAGGGUUGCCAACCCGCGAGGGGGAGCUAAUCCCGUAAAACCGAUCUCAGUCCGGAUUGAGGUCUGCAACUCGACCCCAUGAAGUUGGAAUCGCUAGUAAUCGUGGAUCAGAACGCCACGGUGAAUACGUUCCCGGGCCUUGUA